UGGGGAAUAUUGCACAAUGGGCGCAAGCCUGAUGCAGCCAUGCCGCGUGUAUGAAGAAGGCCUUCGAGUUGUAAAGUACUUUCAGCGGGGAGGAAGGCGAUAAGGUUAAUAACCUUGUCGAUUGACGUUACCCGCAGAAGAAGCACCGGCUAACUCCGUGCCAGCAGCCGCGGUAAUACGGAGGGUGCAAGCGUUAAUCGGAAUUACUGGGCGUAAAGCGCACGCAGGCGGUCUGUCAAGUCGGAUGUGAAAUCCCCGGGCUCAACCUGGGAACUGCAUUCGAAACUGGCAGGCUAGAGUCUUGUAGAGGGGGGUAGAAUUCCAGGUGUAGCGGUGAAAUGCGUAGAGAUCUGGAGGAAUACCGGUGGCGAAGGCGGCCCCCUGGACAAAGACUGACGCUCAGGUGCGAAAGCGUGGGGAGCAAACA
rnacentral:rRNA from 1 species